rnacentral:rRNA from 1 species
GACAGAGGGGGCAAGCGUUGCUCGGAAUUACUGGGCGUAAAGGCUCGUAGGUGGCCAACUAAGUCAUGCGUGAAAUCCCUCGGCUUAACCGGGGAACUGCGUCUGAUACUGGAUGGCUUGAGUUUGGGAGAGGGAUGCGGAAUUCCAGGUGUAGCGGUGAAAUGCGUAGAUAUCUGGAGGAACACCAAUUGCGAAGGCAGCUUACUAUGGUUUAUUGACACUGAGGCACGAAAGCGUGGGGAUCAAACAGG